GUUUCCUUAAAACCCAGAAGCACGAGGCAAAUGCACGACACUCUUUGUGCACCUUCUUUGAUUCACCACAUUGUAAUUCUACUAUAUGCAUCUCUUUCCUUAUCCUUCAAUGGAAAAUAACAUAGUGAAGAAAGGAGGUUUUUUCUUGGUUGUCAAUUUAUAUGCUUUUGUUUGGUUUAACUGGAUGAUAGUCAAAAGCUCAUCUUUCCAUUGUCUUCCUUCACCAUGUAACUGGUGUUCAUUGUUUUUGCUAUAUAUUCGUUUGACAGUCUCGCUCAUUAAUAUAAUUCUCAGUUUACUUCUCAACAGAUAUAACCUACGGCAACUCGAUGCUCAUGGUUCUCAUUCUGUUAUCACAACUUGUUCUUAUGCUUGUUACUUUGACCUGCCAAG
rnacentral:lncRNA from 1 species